rnacentral:rRNA from 1 species
UACGUAGGGUGCAAGCGUUAAUCGGAAUUACUGGGCGUAAAGCGUGCGCAGGCGGUUUUGUAAGACAGAGGUGAAAUCCCCGGGCUCAACCUGGGAACUGCCUUUGUGACUGCAAGGCUUGAGUGCGGCAGAGGGGGAUGGAAUUCCGCGUGUAGCAGUGAAAUGCGUAGAUAUGCGGAGGAACACCGAUGGCGAAGGCAAUCCCCUGGGCCUGCACUGACGCUCAUGCACGAAAGCGUGGGGAGCAAAUAGG